CCUACGGGUGGCUGCAGUAGGGAAUAUUGCUCAAUGGGGGAAACCCUGAAGCAGCAACGCCGCGUGGAGGAUGAAGGUUUUCGGAGUGGAAACUCCUUUUGGUAGAGAAGAGAAUGACGGUAUCUAACGAAUAAGCACCGGCUAACUCCGUGCCAGCAUCCGCGGUAAUACGGAGGGUGCAAGCGUUAUCCGGAAUGACGGGGCGUAAAGAGCGCGUAGGCGGGAUAGCAAGUCAGUGGUGAAAUCCUAUGGCUUAACCCUAGAACUGCAUUUGAAACUGUUAUUCUAGAGUAUGGGAGAGGUAGGUGGAAUUCUUGGUGUAGGGGUCACAUCCGUAGAUAUCAGGAGGAAUACUCAUUGCGAAGGCGGCCUGCUAGAACAUAACUGACGCUGAUGCGCGAAAGCGUGGGGAGCAAACAGGAUUAGAUACCCGUGUAGUC
rnacentral:rRNA from 1 species